UCAACUUCCGUUAGUCUUGAUCUUUGCGGCGUUUUGUUUUGACCAAAAAAUAUGGCGACUUAGAAGCGCUCGAGGUCAACUCAACAAGAGCAAAAGUGGAUCAAUUACCAAAUGAUGUAGAGAUAUGCCAAGGUAUUUGACAUAUCACCCCAACAACAACAAUGGCUGACAAAUCACUUGGGUCAUACAGUAGACGUCCAUAAAAUACAUUAUAGGCAGAUCUCGGGGGUCAUUGAGCCUGUGGACAUUUCCAAACUUGUGCUGUUAACAGUGUAUGGCUUGACUGUGAAAAAUGCUUGCAGAAAAUUGACAGAUAUCACACUGGAAGCAUGAAUAAAGUGGAUGGAGGCAAAACUGAAGGAGGUGCAUGAAUAUUUCAGAGAAUGUCUGAACACAAACACCACUCCAGGAAGAAAAGAUUGCAAUAUGGCAAUAGAAAAGAACAGGGCCAAUGAAGGUACCAUACAGUAUAAGCCAUGGGAGUCCCUGAGGAAGAAAGUAUGGAGCAUAAUCCAGAAACAAAAAUUAAACCAUUUUGACAUUUUUUAUUAUAUAGGAUUAAAGCCCUACCUGUGAAAUUUUGUCACGCAGUGAUGUUUGACUCUUCCCCUGCUCUAAUUACAGUGAAUAUUUGAUUGAAUAUUUUGAUGCAGAUUUGUAGAAAAGAUUUGACAUAGUGCAUAAGUUUUUAGUUUUUAGACAAAGUAGUUUAUUAAUUGUACUUGCUGAAUUUGAGUUAAUGGUGAAUAUCACAAGUCAUUUCUUUUAUUACAGGGAAUAUAUGCAUUGUAUCUGUAUUGUACAGGAAGCUGUAUGAUUUAUUUUACAGUAGCAUGUAAUCAGUUUGAGAUUAUUUCUUUUAUAUGACAGAAGAGAAUUUUCAUUAACCUGAAGAAUGUUUGGUUUAGAAAGAUGCAUGUAUAUAAACUUUUUUAUGGAUUUUCUGUACUGUUAAUGAGAUUUUUUUAUUUUAUCAGAGCAACUGAUAGAAAAUAUGCACUCAGGGGUGGAAUCUAUUUAGCAAUGUGGCACUAGAGAAUAUAUAGCAAUUUCAUGGAUUUUCUUCUGUUGAUGAGAAUUCGUUUAAUCAUAGCAACUGAUAGCAAAUAUUUACAAUUAAGGGAUCUGAUUUAUUUAGGGCUACUUGGACCUUUUGUCAUUAAAGAGGCAUUGGCACAGAUUUGAAGCUAAUAUUUUUCAAAAUUGUCAGUAUAAUAUCAUAACUUUAAUAGCAUUUCAGACUGACAUUGUUAAAGCGUGUUAUGAAACUUCAUUUCUCAUAAAAUUAUAAAAGAAUGAAUUUUGGGUGUGUAUGAUUGCUGUACAUUCUUGCAUUUUCUCAAACUAAAAUUCAUCCUUAGUAUUUAAAAAAAGUGGAAAUUCUGUGGCAUAUCAAUAGAACAUAUUAAAACUGUAUUCAAGAAAAGUGAUAAUAAAAAUGUAGAAAGCAAAAACCGAUUCACCAGUGUUUUCGGUAAGUGUGCAGUGAUGUGUGCAAAGUUAGCAAAUCUAACAAGUCCAGUAAAAAGUAAACAAAAACAAUAACAGAGCUUGUGCCAUGUUUACA